rnacentral:rRNA from 1 species
UACGAAGGGGGCUAGCGUUGUUCGGAAUUACUGGGCGUAAAGCGCGCGUAGGCGGAUCGCUAAGUCAGGGGUGAAAUCCCAGGGCUCAACCCUGGAACUGCCUCUGAUACUGGCAAUCUGGAGAUCGGGAGAGGUUGGUGGAAUUCCGAGUGUAGAGGUGAAAUUCGUAGAUAUGGGGAAGAACACCGAUGGCGAAGGCAGCCAUCUGGACCGACACUGACGCUGAGGCGCGAAAGCGUGGGGAGCAAACAGG